UGCAAUACCUUAAUCCACGAAUAAAAGUAAAAGCUUUAAAGCGGCUAACCGUUAAUUAGCAGACUAU
rnacentral:tRNA from 1 species